rnacentral:misc_RNA from 1 species
ACAAUUGGCGUACUUGAAGAUUCUUUCCAGAUAGCUUUGAAUGGAUAUGUUAGGCCUGGUGAGGCCAUGGAAGACCGAGAUCCUCUGUGGGUAUAACUGGCGGGUAAGAUCGUUUGAUUCCGCUACUCGUUGAAGGAGAGAGGAGAGGAAUCUAAUGAUCUUAGGCAUCACUACUGUGGCCUCCAAAUCCGCCAUUGUUGAUUAAUUUUAGAUUUUUUUGGCCGUUUUAGCAGAACUUUAGCUGUGUUUUAUGAAAACACAGCCGGGUUAUCGUGCUUUGUGGCGUGU